UGCGGUUCCUUUUUGAGGUGUGACACAAAGAUAUGUUUAGGCAGUGAGAUAAAGCAGAAUACUUUUCUAUGGAGAGGAUUUUAACUCCCUAGAAAAGACCAUGUGCUCCUGAGGUGAGCAGGUGGGCACCAGGGCUGCUACCUCCCAUGUGGUCCAGGAGCUGACUGCUGACUACUGACUACUACUACUGACUGUGGAUGGACGUCUUGUGGCUUCUGUCUGAAACAAGAACCAAGCAAGCAAGCAUAGUGCAAGGGACAUCUUGAAGGCCUGCUGCUCACGGCAAGAUGGCUGGUGAAGGAUCUUCCUGACCAUGAACUGGACAAUGUUGAUG